CCUACGGGAGGCAGCAGUGAGGAAUAUUGGUCAAUGGACGCAAGUCUGAACCAGCCAUGCCGCGUGAAGGAUGAAGGCCUUCUGGGUUGUAAACUUCUUUUAUUGGGGAAGAAAAUUACGGUUUCUACUGUAACCGACGGUACCCAAGGAAUAAGCACCGGCUAACUCCGUGCCAGCAGC
rnacentral:rRNA from 1 species